rnacentral:misc_RNA from 1 species
UUGUAUCCAGAGAGUGUGCUAA